UGUAGCGGUGCCGGACGUAGAAGGAGAAGAGUAGAGAGGGUGAUAGCCGGUCUCCCCUCGCCUCCGGGCGGCCGGAUCCACCGACAAUGAGGCCGGGGUCACCGGAUCCGACGGUCCCGGCCUCCUCGUUGGCGGAUGCAUCGACCGGAGCGAGAGGAGGAUGGCGACGACAGUAUGAUGGUGCGGCGACAGCGGUGGCUCGCGUGAGGAGGCGAGGCG
rnacentral:misc_RNA from 1 species